GGUGCAGUUUUCAAUCCCGCUCGGUAGGGCUGAUAAUCCAUCACAGCGUUGAAUAAUCAAUUCCCGGAGAGAUGGAAGGCCCUGUGAGGAUGUUAGGCCAAUACUAGAUAAUGCAUCACAGCUGUCAAUCCACAGUUCCUGUAGAGAGGUGCAAUGAUCGAGUUGGCCAAUACUAGAUAAUGCAUUACACCAUUUAAUCUCCAAUUCCUGUAGAGAGGUGCAAUGAUCGAGUUGGCCAAUACUAGAUAAUGCAUUACAGCUGUUAAUCUCUAAUUCCUGUAGAGAGGUGCAAUGAUCGAGUUGGCCAAUACUAGAUAAUGCAUUACAGCUGUAAAUCUUCAAUUCCUGUAGAGAGGUGCAAUGAUCGAGUUGGCCAAUACUAGAUAAUGCAUCACAGCUGCCAACCCGCAGUUCGCGGAGGGAUGCCAUGCCGUGGGGAAUUGGAAUGAACCCAAUACUUGGACAAUAUUCGACCUUCAACUUCUCCAAGCAAGGGAACACCU
rnacentral:lncRNA from 1 species